rnacentral:tRNA from 3 species
GCGGGUAUCGUAUAAAGGCUAUUACCCCAGCCUUCCAAGCUGGUGAUGUGGGUUCGAUUCCCACUACCCGCUCCA